rnacentral:rRNA from 1 species
GACGAACGCCGGCGGCGUGCCUAGUACAUGCAAGUAGAACGCUGAAGGAGGAGCUUGCUUCUCUGGAUGAGUUGCGAACGGGUGAGUAACGCGUAGGUAACCUGCCUGGUAGCGGGGGAUAACUAUUGGAAACGAUAGCUAAUACCGCAUAAGAGUAGAUGUUGCAUGACAUUUGCUUAAAAGGUGCAAUUGCAUCACUACCAGAUGGACCUGCGUUGUAUUAGCUAGUUGGUGGGGUAACGGCUCACCAAGGCGACGAUACAUAGCCGACCUGAGAGGGUGAUCGGCCACACUGGGACUGAGACACGGCCCAGACUCCUACGGGAGGCAGCAGUAGGGAAUCUUCGGCAAUGGACGGAAGUCUGACCGAGCAACGCCGCGUGAGUGAAGAAGGUUUUCGGAUCGUAAAGCUCUGUUGUAAGAGAAGAACGAGUGUGAGAGUGGAAAGUUCACACUGUGACG